AUUGAACGCUGGCGGCAGGCCUAACACAUGCAAGUCGAACGAGUGGCGGACGGGUGAGUAAUGUCUGGGAAACUGCCUGAUGGAGGGGGCUAACUACUGGAAACGGUAGCUAAUACUGCUUACCAUCUGAUGUGCCCAGAUGGGAUUAGCUAGUAGGUGGGGUAAAGGCUCACCUAGGCGACGAUCCCUAGCUGGUCUGAGAGGAUGACCAGCCACACUUGAACUGAGACACGGUCAAGACUCCUACGGGAGGCAGCAGUGGGGAAUAUUGCACAAUGGGCGCAAGCCUGAUGCAGCCAUGCCGCGUGUAUGAAGAAGGCCUUCGGGUUGUAAAGUACUUUCAGCGGGGAGGCGUUACCCGCAGAAGAAGCACCGGCUAACUCCGUGCCAGCAGCCGCGGUAAUUC
rnacentral:rRNA from 1 species